CUGACGACCUGCUCCAGGAGGCUGCCGGCGGGACGCGAAGGGUCGGGUCGCGCGUCCAGGCGGCUGGAGGGAGCCGGUCUGCGGCUGUGCGUGCCUCUGGACGCGGCCAGCUGAAGCGCGGGCGGCAACAGUGCCGCCAGUCGUACUGGACCAGUAGCUGAGUAACCACCACAACAGAGGUCGAAUUCAGGGACGCGAUGCUAGGAUCGCAACAUGUGCUUUAAGGGGUGGACUGGCAGUCUAUUCUGGGUAUUUCACACCUAAUGAAGGGUCAGUUGCAGUACAAACUAUGGAUAGACAGGUUACCCACAGAGGGCAUGCAGUCAAGCUAAGCCAUUAUCUGUACAGUGCCCUGGACCACCACUCCUGACACCACUAGUGAGGUACAUAUCUGCUGUUGUGAUACACAAAAAAAUACCCACACCACAUGUGGCAUGUCACUAGACAAUCAAAAAUGAAUGGUGCAGCCCACUGAUAAAGUGGAGUGGAGUGCAGUAAUUCAUUUUCUGCAAUUUGAAGACAAACCAUGCAGAAAAAAUAUGUUUUGAUUUGAUGGAGGUGUACAGCAGGAAUGCUCCUUCAUACGUCAAAAGUUUCCCAAAAGUUGAGAAUGGGAAGAAUUGUCACUUAACACAUUUAUUAACAUAGAAUUUGAAAGGACUUUGAAAAAACUUGAUCUGAUCCUUAAAUUAAAAAAGGAAACAAAAUUCUUGUAAAUAUUCAAAAAAAGGUUAACUUCUUCUUCAAGUGUCCAAGUCCAAACAACAAAAUUUGUGAGUCCCUAGCAGGAAUCUCAAACA